AGCUCCGGUGGCCUAGUGGUUAGAGCCUCAGCCUUUUAUGUGGGAGGUCGUGGGUUCAAUCCCCGGUCGAGUCG